GCCUGGGUGGCUCAGUUGGUUAAGCGUCCGACUUCGGCUCAGUUUAUGAUCUCCCGGUUCGUGGGUUCGAGCCCCUCAUCAGGCU
rnacentral:tRNA from 1 species